GAGGGUAUAGCUCAGUGGUAGAGUGCAUGCCUAGCAUGCAUAAGGUCCUGGGGUCAAUCCUCCAUACCUCCA
rnacentral:tRNA from 1 species